rnacentral:rRNA from 1 species
CAGUAGCCGCGGUAAUACAGAGGGUGCGAGCGUUAAUCGGAUUUACUGGGCGUAAAGCGUGCGUAGGCGGCUUUUUAAGUCGGAUGUGAAAUCCCUGAGCUUAACUUAGGAAUUGCAUUCGAUACUGGGAAGCUAGAGUAUGGGAGAGGAUGGUAGAAUUCCAGGUGUAGCGGUGAAAUGCGUAGAGAUCUGGAGGAAUACCGAUGGCGAAGGCAGCCAUCUGGCCUAAUACUGACGCUGAGGUACGAAAGCAUGGGGAGCAAACAGGAUUAGAGACCCGCGUAGUCCCUGUCUCUUAUAC